AGGCCCGUGGUGAAAUGGUAUCACAGAGGUCUCCAAAACCUUUAUUCCGGGUUCGACUCCUGGCGGGCCUGCCA
rnacentral:tRNA from 1 species